rnacentral:rRNA from 1 species
GACGAACGCUGGCGGCGUGCCUAAUACAUGCAAGUCGAGCGGACGAAUCGAAAGCUUGCUUUUGAUUCGUUAGCGGCGGACGGGUGAGUAACACGUGGGCAACCUGCCCUGUAGACGGGGAUAACACCGAGAAAUCGGUGCUAAUACCGGAUAACACGAAAUGUCGCAUGACGUUUCGUUGAAAGACGGCGCAAGCUGUCGCUACAGGAUGGGCCCGCGGCGCAUUAGCUAGUUGGUGAGGUAACGGCUCACCAAGGCGACGAUGCGUAGCCGACCUGAGAGGGUGAUCGGCCACACUGGGACUGAGACACGGCACAGACUCCUACGGGAGGCAGCAGUAGGGAAUCUUCCGCAAUGGACGAAAGUCUGACGGAGCAACGCCGCGUGAGCGAAGAAGGCCUUCGGGUCGUAAAGCUCUGUUGUUAGGGAAGAACAAGUAACGCAGUAACUGGCGUUACCGUGACGGUACCUAACGAGAAAGCCACGGCUAACUACGU